CUGUGGAAUUACGAAGAGUUUUAGAGUGUGAGGUGUUGAAAGAAAAGCAUCGAGUUGUGAGCGUAGUGUACAAGGAGCAAUGCGAGUAAACGAGAUGAAAAAAGGGUUCGCAGAGAUUAAAGUAUAAGUGGGAGAAUAGUAGGAUAUUUUCCUCUCUAUUUCUCGCGUAAUCCGAACGGUAGACCAAAAAACUGAAUUAUUUAUCAAAUACUUAAUUUGCAUAUAUAUUAGCAAGUCGACGGAGGAUACGCCGGUUGUUCUCUGAUGCUCGUUGAGAAUGGCUCAAGAACGUCAACUAGACGUUUUAGAUAUGCACCGACGACCACAAUCAGGUUUUCUUCAAGAAGAAAUAGAUACCUAAUGUUAUUUACAACCAAAAAAAUCCAGGCUUUUUGAUAAAAAAAAUUUAUUUACCGAAAUACUUUACACUAAAAAAUUAGCGGAGUAAAUUCGGAGCGGGCUUUUUAUUUAUUUGAUUCCCUGGAGUCAAAUUUACUCCUGAAGGAGUUUAUUUAAAUAUUAAAACUCCGAAUCAUAGUGAAUGCAGAUUUAAAUAAAAUAAUUUACUCCCAAUUUUUGGCGGAUAUUAAACUUGCGUUGCCAUCUAACCGCGAGAAACUCGAAUCCAGACGCUCUAGGGGAAACGCCCGAUCCCCGAGUUCCGAGUCACGAGUCCCGAGGUUUUACCCGCUUUCUCUCAGUUCUCUGUCGUGGGGGUGCUACUGCUCGGCAACUGAAGAGAGAAGAGCCAUAGUGAGGGUCGGAAUUAUAGAUGUCGGACAUUUUGAAAAUCACUGCCGCCAUUUUGUUUCUACUCAGCGCUGGAAGAAGUUCUAAUAAAUUUUGAAAUUUCUCUUAAAAUAGAGCUCAAAAACUGGAGAAAAUAAAUUGGAGCUGGAAAUAGCGAGCGUAAGUCGCAUUCCAUUGGAUGGGAAAUCGAGCAACUCGAUUGCCGGAUCGCGGUCUGCGGAGUCCGCGACUAAAGACAAGUACCAGGCAAGUGGGAGCUAGUGAACAAAGAGCUGCAACAUCGACAGAACCAGGAGUAAGAAGGAGAGACUUGAAUGUAAGUGGAGUUAAUAGUAAGAGAGAAAGAGAAACAAGAGAGAGAAACAAGAUCUAACUUAGCUCUCAACAUCCAGUGGUUCAAGGUGCAGUCACCUCUUUCUACUCAAAACCAACCAAGAUGGCCGUGGAAUUCCAACGAGUACACUCACCAACCGAAGCUGUAUUCCUCCGGGCAGUGACGGGACAGUAGCUCAUGGUAUUCCAUUUUGUACUGUACAUACUUUUAUAUAUAUAUGUAUAAAUAUAUACAUAGAAAAUAUACAUAGUGUACAUUGUGAUGAUACCACAUUUGCUUGUUACCUCUUCUCUCCUCAUUUAAUUCAAUUCGCUAAAAAACUUUCCUUCUUAUACCUCCUUCUUUUAUUCACUUCUCUCUCAUUUUUAUUAUUUUAUUUAACUCUCGGUUAUAUUCCGCUGAAUAACACGAAAAAAGCAUUAAUUAGCUUGUCCGAAUAGCGUCGUAAAUUAAGUUUAAAAAAAAAACAAGCAAAUACUUUAAUGUAAUUUAUAUAAAAACAAGAAAGUUAAUGGAAAUUAUAAAUUUAUAAACUUGAAAAUAAUUUAAAUUAGGUGAUAGUAACAUCGAAAAUUCCCGCGGUCACUGAUAUUAACAAGAGUAUUAAUUAUUUUCCUUACGCGUGAACACGUUUCUGGUACAUAUUUAAAUAUAUAUAUUCAUAAUACUAUUAUUAAGUAUUAUUUUUCACGUGUGUUCUCUACAAUCUACACUCCUUUCUAACGUUUGAUGUCAAAUGUCUUUUUUUUUUUUUU